UACGGAGGGUGCUAGCGUUAAUCGGAAUUACUGGGCGUAAAGCGCACGCAGGCGGUUUUUUAAGUCAGAUGUGAAAUCCCCCGACUCAACCUGGGAACUGCAUUUGAAACUGGCAAGCUAGAGUCUCGUAGAGGGGGGUAGAAUUCCAGGUGUAGCGGUGAAAUGCGUAGAGAUUGGUAGGAAUACCGGUGGCGAAGGCGGCCCCCUGGACGAAGACUGACGCUCAGGUGCGAAAGCGUGGGGAGCAAACAGG
rnacentral:rRNA from 1 species